rnacentral:lncRNA from 1 species
GGGGCUUAGCUCAGAUUAUCAUUUUUUUCCCCCAAAAUUUGAACGAGCUCAUUUAGCAAUUCUAGUUCUUUUUAAGAUCAAAGUUUUACUGUAAUCAAGAAUCUAUAUUUUUUGCUAGAUUUUCUUUCCCUUGUUUUUGGGUUUUCAUCAAAAUUCUGAUCCGUGAUUAGCCCAGAUUGCUUUAGAGCAAUGAAUUUCAAAAAGCAUGGAAGAAUUUGGGCCGUUUUAUAUGAACCAGCAUUCAAAACCAGCCACAAGACGUCGGCAUUUUGUGGGCACUUUGUGUGGUAUCCUGUGCUUGGUAUACUCAGUGUUCUUCAAUUGGCAGUGCCUGAUUCUCACGCCUUUCUUUGGUUACUAUUUUUCCUUGGUAUAGCCAUUUCUUUGUUGAAAGGAAUGUUCCAUAAGAAAUGUCGAAAACAUAAAUUCAUUUUAUCUAUUCUGACACCGUCGACCGGGAUGAGUAAUUUGGGGCUGCAAUGAAUCGAAUGAGUAAUAUGAGACUGCAAUUAAUCUGCUCGAUGGCUUACAGUAGCGGGGAUUUAGUUGCAAGUAAACUUUUGGGCUGCAAUUAAUCUUCUCGCACAGGUCGAUGGUUUACAGUAGCAAGAUUGUUUGGGGCUGCGUUUGUGUCGGCGGUUGCUUGUUUCAUUGUUUGGGGUUGCAUAUUUGUGGGAAAAUUAGGGGGAAAAUAUAUUACUAGGUGGUCCACCUUUCUUCCCUUCAAAAACAAACCACAAACGAAAAUUAUGGGUUGAUUGGUGACACGUGUUCUUUUUCAAAUCCCUGUUUUUAUAUAUAUUUUUGGACCUGUCCAAGUAGAUUAAUUCUUAAGUAAUAGCGUUAAGCCUUUGAGCAACAUUCUAGGGAAAAAAUGUAUUAUUCAUCUCAAAUCAAUGAAAAAU